UUUAAAUGGUCUAGGGUGGGUAAUCAGCACUGAUAACAUAUUUUCAAGCUCCCUCAGCUGAUUCUAACAUAGCCAGGAUGAGACCCUUAGUCAGGCCCUUCACUCCCAAGUCACCAAACUCCCACACCUGGUGACAUUUGCAUUCUGUGACCUUAGGCAGAAUGAUUCAUAAUCACUCCUGAAAAAACAGUUGAUGGAGAUUUCAGCAAGAGCAGGUUCUUCUCCUGAGGGAACCCUGAAACUCUAGGCCUCAGUGAUCCCAGCCUAUGAGGCAGAGCUUGGAACCAUGCACAGAGAGGACAUUUUAGCUCAAUACUGCAUCCUUUUUGCUGCACUCUCCUCCAGGGUGCUGGAUGUGGUGAAAACCUGAAGCAAGCAACGAUGAGGUGCCUCUGCUGUGAUGGGCAAGCUGCCAGUCUCCUACCUGCCGGACCUUCCUAGAAUCCUAGGGCCAGGUCUACUUGGGCCAGACGACGCCAGCGUCCCCCGCCGCCUCAGCGCCUCAGCCCCACGCGCUUGUGCGCCUUCUGAGCAUCAGCGGAUGGACCUGGGCGGGGGCGGGGCCGGAGGAGGGGGCGGUGGGAAGGUCUGCGGCCUCCAGCACCGCCUUGGCAGAUUUUGUUUUUAAACCAUGGAUUUAGGUUGUAAAUUAACUUGUGGGGCGUGGACUGCAGGAAGAACCACCUUCCCUGCCUUCUGUUUUCCCACCAGGGGCUCUGGACAAGCACUUUUUCUAUUUACACUUUUAUUUUUUCUUUCAAAGGGAUGGGAUUAGGGGACGAGGGGUGGGGGGCAUGGUCUGUAGGCUCCUCUGUGCCCAUCUUGCACCUCCAAGGGGCCUGGGGUGUGGGGGUGGGUGUGAGUGUGGGGCGUACUGGAAGAUGACAGGCGCCCCGCUCACGCCUGUCACUGUGGGGGGCACCAGUAUACCAGCCCUCCGCCCGCAGUCAGCCCCUGCCUCACCACAGACUCCUGUUGCCCAUCCCUCUGGGGUCUCAGUGCUCUGGGCAAGGGGAACAACGAAGAGGCUGUGCCCUGCCCUCGGCCCUCACCCCAGAAAUGCCAAGGCCUCGCCACCGCCACAUCGCCAUCCUGCACUGAGGACUCUGGAGGCCAUUAGGGGCUGCCUUGUUUGCUGUUGUAUUGGGUCUGUGUCGACUCUCCCUCCACCUUUAGUGUUUCGUUUCUUCCCUCCUUUCCUUCCCUCCUGUUCCCACUCCCAAGUUCAGCACAGGUAAAAGGGUUACCCCUCCCUCCCUGCCUCCUGGAUCACCAACUCACAGUUGCUUCCUUCUCUUUUAUUUUCGUGUGUGUAUAAUUUAUUUUUUUCUUCCUCCCCUUUUCUGUCCUCCCUCCCUCCCUCUCUGCCAUGUAACUGGAGGAUGUGCAAUGAGUUUGCAAACAGCUGGGCUGUCAGGCUGCUUUGCUCUCCAAUGUUUCUCCUCUGCCUCCCCUCCUCUUCCUCUCUCCCUACCCUUUCCUUCCUUCAGUGUUUCCUUAGAGCAGUGAGCACUACUUGGAAGCUUGAGAGAAACUAAAAUUAAAUUGAGAGAGAGAAAAGGAGAGGGAGAUGCUGGAAAUAUCACAGAAACAGCAGCAGAUCCAUGCAGGCAGGGAAGGUGGUCGAUGAAAUUUGGACCUUUAUAGUUCACAGCUGAUUCCCUACCUAUAAUAUCAGAUCACAUAUGUGUCCCAUAAUCAUGGUGACUUCUAGUUUGCAUCAUCUGUUUUUGUUUUAGACACCAAGUGCACCGUGUGGAAUCUGCCAAAUUAAGAAAUCCCUGUCCUCUCAGUCAAUCCUGGCCAAUGCUAUUUCCACAAAUACUUCUUCCUCUACACACCCACUUAGCUCCUUAGCACCAGCCCCCAGCCAUGAUUUGCUUUAAUAUUCAAGAAGAUUCUGGGAGAAAAUAGUAGAAAUUUUUGCCAUUUGCUUUGAACACACGUGCACAGCCAGUGUUCUCAUUUGAGACAAAUCACUAUGGAGAGGUGUUAGCAAGCAGGUUAUUGAUUUUCCUGGGAGAACCUCCACAUCUUGCUUCUGCAUUAGCAGUAUAUCAAGCCAAAACUGACCCGGCUAUCUCCCUCCACACAAAGGAUAUGUGUACUCAGUGUCUCUCAAAUUCAACACACACACACACUUGCAUGUACCUUGGAGAUUUGUCAUUGAUCAUUGUGAAGAACUGUUCUACAAAGUGCAGGAGGUAUUUAAUGUCCCUGACCCACACCCCCGCCCCAAAUGCCAGUGGCAGCCCCAGUUGCUGUAAUAACCAAAAGACUCCCUUAGGUUUUGCAGUAUCCCCCAAGGUGUUUGUAUCAUCCCAGAAUGAGAACCAUAGCUGGCUCUGUGUCGGGUAUUUGCCCUCACUCUUCAGUGCAGUUGUUCUCAACCGUGCGGAGAUUUCAAAACCCCUGAUGGCUGAGUACCACCUCUAGAGAUUCUGAUCAAUUGGUCCAAACUGCAUCUUAGGCAUCAGGAAUUUAAAAAGAGCCCAGCUGAUUCUAAUGGGUAGCUGAGGUCAGCCUUUCCAGCUGAGUCCAAAAGUCUGGGACUCUCUACAGUUACAGAUUUGGCCAGCAUCUGUCACAGGUUAACACAAUGUGAGCCGAAGCAACUGCUUUGAGCCAGGACUAACAUUCCACUCCAUUCACCAGGCUGCUAAUGCUGGAUCUGAUAGCCUCUUGGCUAUUCUGUACCCUGACCCCUGCCUGUGCAGCAACGUAUGGGUCAGUGAGAAGCUAACUGCUAGAUGAAGCAGCCCCUCACCAUCUCAUCGCCUCUAGGAAACACCCUAAAAGGGGAAACGAAUUGUGUAUACAUUUCUCGACUCAGAGAAAAACAGGAAUCUCAGUCUUAGGAGCAGAAUCCUUCUAGUUGCCCAAGGCCUUCUGGGGUGGGGCGUGGGGGGUGGUGGCUCAUUACCAACAAUGUGCCAGUAAAUGUCUCCAAGCAGAACUGUUUAAUUAUCAUGGUUUUUAGCUAUCCGCCACUGCAUUCUUUAAUGAACAUCUCCUUCUUUGUGUGUCCCGGGAGACCCCACCCCUCUCUUGUUCUCACUUAUCUGGCUCGAGUUUCCUAAGAAC